rnacentral:lncRNA from 1 species
AAUCAUUUCCCUCCUGGCUAUUACCUGUCAGUCCAGUCCUUCAUCCCUGAGAUUUCUCUCUUGAACCCUCCUCUCUUCCCAGCUCUUCUACUCCCUCAAUUUUAAUAAGUUUGCUUUUUGCUUUUGUUGUGACCUUACCUAUUGUCCAAUUUAUGUAUUCUUAGUUUCAAGUAUACUAGAGUCUCAGCAUCAUUUUCUGCUUAUCACACCCCCUUUCAACAAGCAGGUAUGACCUUAUGCAUUGAUGCUAUAAGUAUGCUCCAGGUCACUUGAUUGACAGCAUAAAUCAAUCUGCUCCAACUUCUCCAAAUUUCUGAGUUUGUCAUUAAUUUUUCACUUUUUUUUUUUUUUUUUUUUGCAUUUCACUAGUCUCAGGGCUUGACUCACAACACUGAAUUUAUGGUUAUUACCUUAUUUUUUCUUUCUGGGUAAUAGACUUAGUCUGUGCUAUCUAUAGACAUCUGGAUAAAUAUCUUUCCUGGAAUUGUUCAAUCCUGUAUCUUAUCCUUGCUACAGCAUUUAUAAGUUAAGAUAGUACUAAUUCUACCCACCCCCAUAUAUAACAUCUAGAUAGAUAUCUACCCAGGCAGAAUCCCAGGGCUCAUGACGUCAAGUACAUACCAACCUAUUUCCUUCUUUCAGUUUUUGACUGCUUAGUGGAAAGUAUACUCCAUGAAUCCAUAAAUCUGAUUUGCAUUAUUAAAUCCCUACUGAUUUGCAUUCUCUAAUCCCAUUCCAAAAUUUCAAAAUACUGUGAAAGAAAAUUGCAUAAUUAUGUUGGUUGGAAGCCAUUAAAAUUUUAUAUUUUCCAGGCUCAAUGAGAUAAGCAACUCUUUUAAUCAUUCUUACUCAGUUUCUAACACAUUCCUUUCAGUGACAGUUAAAAAAAUAAAGCAGACAAAAGACUUAAUGGUUCUUCUCAAGCCCGUGAUGCUCAAAAAAGAAAUGAUAACCUACUUUAUAU